rnacentral:lncRNA from 1 species
UCAAUUUUACUGUUUUUUUUUUCCUUUUUAAUCUUUGGAUCGAAUCAUUGCUUAGUUCUUGCUUAAUUUCUCCAUUUUAUGGUGGGUCUUUGAUUGCAGGUUUAGCUCUGCGCGAGAACUGGGAAAUUUAAUUGUGACCUCCAAUCUAAUCGACUCUGCUUUGACUAAAAUUCUUGAGCUUCAAAGAGACCAAACAGCCUUGCCUUCCCCCGUUCAAUACAGAGUUUUUUAUCCAUCUCCCAAGUGCACAAUUGUAGCUUUUGUCUCUUCACCUGACUGCACUCAAAACCCUCUUCCUGGACAAGGAGAUUUAGUUCCCUCUCCUCUCUUUGACUUCCUCUGCACCGAAGAAUACCCUUCCGUCUCCAUUAACGGAGCCGCAUUAACCCUCUUUACCUCUCUCUACGAUCAUCUCUCUGGACUAAUAGAUGAGGUCAAAAUCUGAUACUUGUUUUAAUUUACGUUAACUUUUCGUUAACAAUUGUGAGACACGAAACAGCUUGACCAUGAGAUCUCCCUCAUGGAGUCAAAACCCGUGUUGGUAUCUGUUUUUAGAUCAACUUAUAUAUAUAUAUAUAUAUAUAUAUAUAUAUCUUGUGGAUAAAAGGAAAGUUUACAAGUGAGAAUAGUGGCAUUUUUCUGACAGAUUUCACACCGUUGCUUGUUUUGCAGUUGACUGUGAUUGAAGGUCGAUUAAUCAUCACUGGGCACUCGAUGGGAGGAUCCGUUGCUUCUCUCUUCACCUUAUGCCUGCUAGAAGUCAUUAAUAUAUCAAAACCCAAAUGCCGCCCCAUUUGCAUCACCUUUGGUUCACCCCUCAUAGGCGACUUUGGCCUCCAACACUCCAAUUGGAAUUCUUUCUUCUUGCAUGUAGUGUCCAACCAAGAUCUAGUCCCCGGACUCUUCCUCCCAUCCGGCAGAUCUCCUCCCACAUCCUCCCAUUCACAAACUACUGGUUACAAGCCCUUUGGGACAUAUCUCUUGUGCUCUGAACUUGGUUGUGCUUGUUUUGACAACCCUGAUUUAAUUUUGGAAUUGCUGAAAGUCAUAUCAUCAGAGGUUGCCGGAGGAUUGCGGGAUGUUGAUUACAGGAAGAUUUUAAUAAACCUCAAGGAGAGGGCAAUCUUCAAGGGACUUCAGCAGGUGGGUGAAAGGUUUGCAGAUCCCUUGUCAGCUGGGAUCGUCAUGGACCUUGAGAUAAUUGGAUUUGAUCAAACAAAGGUAAACAGCUUUCUCCCAAUUAAUGAUGUAGUAUGGUUUACACUCAACUUCACCAAAACCUGCAACAACUGCCCUAUUUAGAUUUGCCUUCCUGUUCUUUGGGUUCUUCUAUAACUUCUCAUUUUUUAAAUUCAUGGCAGCUGUUGCGGCACAACAUUGAUAUCAACACUGUGAUAAGGAUACUGGGAGUGGAAGCCAGAAUCCUAGCCCACAAAAAUAAAGCUUCUGAUGCCAAGAAACUGAAUGACAUAAAAAUACACAUGGCCCAGCUAGAAUGGUAUAAGAAGAAAUCAAAAGAUCUGAACAAGGGUUACUACGACUGCUUCAAAAACCAGGGGUCAAAAAGGGACAUUAAAAUUGAACAGUAUAGGGGACACCUCACAAUAUACUGGAAAGACAUGGUUGCACAAGUACAGAGGAAGCCCCAGAAGGAAGGAGCAUCAUUUCGAACCAGUUGGCUCUAUCCAGGGACAACUUAUAGAAGAAUGGUUGAACCACUGGACAUUGCUGCCUUCUACAGAGAGGGUAGAACAGACUACAUAAACAAUGGAAGAUCUCCUCAUUACAAGCUGUUGCAGCAAUGGUAUGAGGAAGAUGUGAAGCCCCCAUCCAGAGAUAAGCUCGAUUCCAAGAAACUAAAGGUGUCUGGUAUCCUAACUGAGGAUUCUUUGUUUUGGGCACAUGUGGAGGAGGCUCUCUUGUCAUGCGAAUCGCUCAAGAGUGCAAACUCUACUCUUGAGCAGAGAAAAUCAUCAUGGGAUAAUCUGGUUAAGUUUGGGGAGUAUGUAAUGGAACAGAUUGGAAACUAUGCAGUGUCCCCUGAGAUUUUCUUGGGGGAAAGCAGCUUCAUGAAAUGGUGGGGAGUGUAUGAGGACUACAUAGAUGCUUCCAAUAAUUCCUAUGGGUCACCAUUGAUCAGCUUUAUGAAGAACCGUAGUUAUAGACUGUAUGGUUAGAGGGCAAUCCAGUUUGUGUAUUGUGUUUAUUGUAUUGUGAGCAUUCAAUAGAUAAAACUAGAAAGAGCGUGACCUUUUUAUGACAACUUUAGAAACCAGGGGUUAAAAGAGACAUUACAAACUGAAGUUUUUGAGAGGAAACCUCAAGAGUAUACUGGGAAGCCAUGGUGGAACAAGUAGAGAGGAAGCCUCAGAAGGAAGGAGCAAUGGUUGAACCACUUGACAUUGUUGCCUACUACAGGGAGGGUGUAAGAAACAACAUAACCGAGGGAAGAUCUGAACGUUAAACGUUGUCCAAUUAUUAUAAAUGUCUUAUACAUUACGUGUGAAAAUACCAAAAAAAAUUAUAUUCAACAUUUAUGUUUGUAUACAAGCAAUAUUUUGGAUAGUUUGAUAUAAAAAACAAAUGAAGAAAAUGAAGAAAAACAUACAAAUAUAUUUACAAUGGACAAACUUAUACAAUUAGUAUAAAUGUCUUGUAUAUUUAGUACAAAUGUCUCGUACUUUGUAAAAAUAUAAAAAUAUAGUAUUUGACUUUUAUAUAUGUGUGAAAAUGUAAAAAGAAAAAGAAAAAUAGUUAGAGCAUUUGGUACCGUGAGUGAUGACUUCACCUAAAGAAAGGUUAAUGAAUAUUAUGGUCUCGAUGGAAGAGCGACUCCGGUAAAAUAUAUGGAUUAAAUUGAUGCUUUUCUUUUGACGAUGAAGUAGUUGAGUUAUGAAUACGAGGUUUUGCUAACAGCAUUGAAGGCAAGGAUUCCCUAAUAUACUCCAAUUCAUAUUCAAUUUGUAGACCUUCAACUAACUACUCUUGCUAACGAGCAUAUCCAAGUCAAUACAUAAGAUUAAUUAAGAUUAAGUAUUACGUAUGAUAAUUGAAACCCUAUUUAAAUAAAUAAUGACACAUAUAUAAAAAAUAUAUAUAUUUUUAAAAAAAUAAAUAACAAUUUAGAGAAUUUCAUAACUUAGCAUCAAACCUAUUGUAAGAAAGAGUAUUAUACAAUGUAGGGUUUAGGAUCCAAGUCAACCUAAGAUCAAAUUUAAGUUUUAAGAUCAAUUCACAUUCAAAACUAAGGUUUUAAGUUUCAAAAAUAUAUUUCUUAAACCAAUUAAAUGGAAAAAAGAAAAUUACAAAGAAAAUUUCUCCCUCAUCAGUUUCUUUUAUCUUGAAAACUAAAGGAAAUAUAUAUCAAUAUUUGAGAUGGAAAUUCAUAAUCUUAGGUGGUGUUUGUUUUUUUGGCUUUUUGCUGAAAACUAUUUAGUUUUAGAAUUUAGGUUUUUUUUUUUUUUUACUUUUUCAUGACUUAUAAUAAACUUUUUACUAAAUAGAAAAAACCAAAAUAUGUGGUUUUUUCUAAAUAGAAAAAAUAACACAAUGGUUUUUUUUACUUUUUAAUACUUAAUAGAAAUAAAAUACUACAAAAACAAACAUCUUAAUAUUUAAUACUAUUAAGUAUUAAGGUUCUAUUUAGAAUUAAGUAAAAAAACAAACACCACCUUAGAAACACAAAGAACAAAGAGAGUAUGAAGAGACCAUACCAUGAGAGAUUUUCCGAAAGGUUGGUAAACCAUGGUAAUCACCUUUGAGUCUUGCUGAGAAAAACAAACCUUAUUUAUUUUUAUUUUUUUAUCAUUUUUUCUCUUGUGUGGUGUACAUUUAAGAAAAACAAAUCUCAAAAAAAAAAAAAAACACAAACCAAAUAAUGCCAGAAUUUGGGUUGAGAAACACCCAAAAGAUAGUGGCCCAAUACAUGUGCCUAAGAAAAUCUUCAUGAGCCGAUAAACAUAGUCACAAAACUAGUAACAGCCUUGUAGCCAUAGUUGGUGUAGUAUGAGCAAGUGGGGUAUGAAGUAGGUAGGUGAGUAUUGCAAUGAAAUUUCCAGCACUGCUUCCUGAAUUAAGAAAUCACAUACCCAAGUCUUAGUCGUCGUCGUCGUCGUACCGUGUGAGAACCGGGAAGAAUCUUUGCUCGUAGACUGGCUUUUGUAGUCUUUCUUUAACAAUUACAAGUUAUCUGAAUUCCCUUCAUCCUCCUAUAUAAUAUUGUUUUGGUCUUGUUCUUGUUGCAUUGUGGCUAGGCAUCUCCAUGGAAGGAAGGAGGAUGAAUCAAGUUCCUUUGUAUGAAUCAAUUUCUCUGCUCUUUUUUUUUUUCAAUCCUUGAAUCGAAUCAUUGCUUAGUUCUUGCUUUAAUUUCUCCAUUUUCUGUUGGGUCUUUGAUUGCAGGUUUAGCUCUGCAAGAGAACUGGGAAAUUUAAUUGUGACCUCCAAUCUAAUCGACUCUGCUUUGACUAAAAUUCUUGAGCUUCAAAGAGACCAAACAGCCUUGCUUUCCCCCGUUCAAUACAGAGUUUUUUUAUCCAUCUCCCAACUGCACAAUUGUAGCUUUUGUCUCUUCACCUGACUGCACUCAAAACCCUCUUCCUGGACAAGGAGAUUUAGUUCCCUCUCCUCUCUUUGACUUCCUCUGCACCGAAGAAUACAAGUCCGUCUCCAUUAACAGAGCUGCAUUAACCCUCUUUACCUCUCUCCACGAUCAUCUCUCUGGACUAAAAACUCAGGUCAAAAUAUGAUAGUUGUUUUUAUUUUCGUUUCCUUUUUGUUAACAAUUGUGAGACAUGAAACAGCUUGACCAUGAGAUCUCUCUCAUAGAGUCAAACUACCUGAAGAAGAAGAAGACGUUACACAUAUCCAUCUGCGUUGCAUCAUCGCAUUACCCAUUGAUCGGUUGUGAUUCAACUCUUAAUAGGAAGACAGUAGAACUGGUGUUGGUAUCUGUUUUUAGAUCAGCUUAUAUGUAUCUUGUUGCUAAAAAGGGAAUGUUUAGAAGUGAGAUUAAUGGGAUUAUUCUGACAUGGAUUUCAUAUGGUUACCUGUUUUGCAGUUGACUGUGAUUGAAGGUCAAUUAAUCAUCACUGGGCACUCCCUGGGAGGAGCCGUUGCUUCUCUCUUCACCUUAUGCCUGCUAGAUGAAAAUUUAUUAAAACCCAAAUGCCGCCCCUUUUGUAUCACCUUUGGUUCACCCCUCGUCGGCGGCUUUGGCCUCCAACACUCCAUAUGGAAUUCUUUCUUCCUGCAUGUAGUGUCUAACCAAGACCCAGUCCCCGGUCUCUUCCUCCCAUCUGGCAGAGGCAGAUCUACGCCCACAUCCUCCCAUUCACAAACUACCGGUUACAAGCCCUUUGGGACAUAUCUCUUGUGCUCUGAACUUGGUUGUGCUUGUUUUGACAACCCUGAUUUAAUUUUGGAAUUGCUGAAAGUCAUAUCAUCAGAGGUUGCCGGAGGAUUGCAGGAUGUUGAUUAUGGGGAGAUUUUAAGAAACCUCAAGGAGAGGGCAAUCUGCAAGGGACUUCCGCAGGUGGGUGAAAGGUUUGCAAAUCCAUUUUCAGCUGGGAUCAUCAUGGAACUUGAGACAAUUGGAUUUAAUCAAACAAAGGUAAACAGCUUUCUCCCAUCUAAUGAUGUUAUGGAACAUGGUUUACACCUCAUUAAAUACUGCAACAACUGCCCUAUUUAGAUUUACCUUCUUGUUCUUUGGGAUUUUCCAUAACUAGACUCAUUUUUUAAUUUCAUGGCAGCUGCUGCAGCAUAACAUUGAUAUCGAGACUGUGAUAAGCGCAAUGGAAGCGGAAGCAAGAAACCUAACCCAGAAAAAUAAAGCUUCCGAUGCCAAGAAACUGAAUGAAAUAAAAAUAGACAUGACCCGGCUAGAAUUGUAUAAGAAGAAUUCGAACAUGGGUUACUACGAUUGCUUCAAAAACCAGGGGUCUAAAAGGGACAUCCACGUUGAACAGUUUAGGGUAAACCUCACAGGGUACUGGGAAGGCAUGGUUGCACAAAUACAGAGGAAGCCUCAUAAGGAAGGAGCAACAUUUCGAACCCGUUGGCUCUAUGCAGGGACGGUUUAUAGAAGAAUGGUUGAACCACUGGACAUUGCUGCCUUCUACAGAGAGGGUAGAAAAGACUACAUGAAUAAAAGAUCUGCACAUUACAAGCUGUUGCAGGAAUGGUAUGAGGAAGAUGUGAAACCCCCCUCUAGAGAUAAGCUUGAUUCCAAGAAGCAAAAGGUGUCCAGUAUCCUAACUGAGGAUUCUUGCUUUUGGGCACAUGUGGAGGAGGCUAUCUUGUCAUGCGAAUUGCUCAAGAGUGAAAACUGUAAUCUUGAGGAGGGAAAAUCAUCAUGGGAUAAUCUGGUUAAGUUCGAGGAGUAUGUAAUGGAACAGAUUGACAACUAUGCAGUGUCCCCUGAGAUUUUCUUGGAGAAAAGCAGCUUCAUGAAAUGGAGGGGACUGUAUGAGGGCUACAUAGAUACUCGCAGUAAUUCCCAUAGCUCGCCAUUGAUCAGCUUUAUGAAGAAUCGUAGUUAUAGACAAUAUGGAUAGAGGGGUAAUCCAGUUUGUGUGUUGUGUGUAUUGUUUUGUGAGCAUUCAAUGGAUAGAACUAGAAAGAGUGUGACCUUUUCCUUUUUUUUUUCAGUUGCUGCCCAUAUUCUCAGCACUAUUUUCUUCCUUCUUUUCCUCAGUUUUUUUGUUAAGAAAUGAAUAUUAUGAUGUUGCCGGGAUGCACUUUCAUUUUUGUUCCAUUACAUUGUGUUUUAUUCAUAUCCUAAACAAAUAAAUGUAAACAAGAAAAUCAAAUGAGACUUCAAAGAGUCUGUUCCUUUUAAAGCAAGGGAAAAAAAGGACAUGUUUGUUUACUUCCACAGCUGGGUAGAUUCAACUCCACCAAAAUUGGCAACAACUUCCCAUUGAAAAAUUCCUUUUAAGCUUGAAUGACAUAAAACUAGAUAUGUUCCAGCUAGAAUGGUACAAGAAAGAAAUCAAAAGAUGAGCACAAUGGGUUAUUAUGACAGCUUUAGAAACCUGGGGUGUAAAAGAGACAUUAAAAUGGAACCGAGGGGAAGACAUUGUAGAACAAGUAAAGAGGAAGCCUCACCAGGAAGGGCAGCUUUGCAAACCCUCUGGCUCUGUACAGGAACGAAUUAUAGAAAGAUGGUUGAACCACUUGACAUUGCUGCCUACCACAGAGAGGGUGGAAGAAACUACAUAACCAAUGGAGGAUGUAAACAUUACACGCUAUUAGAGCAAUGAUGCAAUGAAGAGAAGGGGACUUUGUCUUCCAAUAAUUUAAGAAAAUAAAACCAAAUAAUGCCAGAAUUUGGGUUGAGAAACACCCAAAAGAUAGUGGCCCAAUAUGAAGUAGUCACAAAACUAGUAACAGCCUUGUGGCCAUAGUUGGUGUAGUAUGAGCAAGUGGGGUAUGAAGUAGGUAGGUGAGUAUUGCAAUGAAAUUUCCAGCACUGCUUCCUGAAUUAAGAAAUCACAUACUCAAGUCUUAAUCGUUGUCAUCAUACCGUGUGAGAACCGAGGAAGAAUCUUUGCUCUUAGACUGGAUUUUGUAGUCUUUCUUUAACAAUUACAAGUUAUCUGAAUUCCCUUCAUCCUCCUAUAUAAUAUUGUUUUUGGUCUUGUUCUUGUUGCAUUGUGGCUAGGCAUCUCCAUGGGAGGAAGGAGGAUGAAUCAAGUUCCUUUGUAUGAAUCAAUUUCUCUGCUCUUUUUUUUUUCAAUCCUUGAAUCGAAUCAUUGCUUAGUUCUUGCUUUAAUUUCUCCAUUUUCUGUUGGGUCUUUGAUUGCAGGUUUAGCUCUGCAAGAAAACUGGGAAAUUUAAUUGUGACCUCCAAUCUAAUCGACUCUGCUUUGACUAAAAUUCUUGAGCUUCAAAGAGACCAAACAGCCUUGCCUUCCCCCGUUCAAUACAGAGUUUUUUAUCCAUCUCCCAACUGCACAAUUGUAGCUUUUGUCUCUUCACCUGACUGCACUCAAAACCCUCUUCCUGGACAAGGAGAUUUAGUUCCCUCUCCUCUCUUUGACUUCCUCUGCACCGAAGAAUACAAGUCCGUCUCCAUUAACAGAGCUGCAUUAACCCUCUUUACCUCUCUCCACGAUCAUCUCUCUGGACUAAAAACUCAGGUCAAAAUAUGAUAGUUGUUUUUAUUUUCGUUUCCUUUUUGUUAACAAUUGGGAGACAUGAAACAGCUUGACCAUGAGAUCUCUCUCAUAGAGUCAAACUACCUGAAGAAGAAGAAGACGUUACACAUAUCCAUCUGCGCUGCAUCAUCGCAUUACCCAUUGAUCGGUUGUGAUUCAACUCUUAAUAGGAAGACAGUAGAACUGGUGUUGGUAUCUGUUUUUAGAUCAGCUUAUAUGUAUCUUGUUGCUAAAAAGGGAAUGUUUAGAAGUGAGAUUAAUGGGAUUAUUCUGACAUGGAUUUCAUAUGGUUACCUGUUUUGCAGUUGACUGUGAUUGAAGGUCGAUUAAUCAUUACUGGGUACUCGAUGGGAGGAUCCGUUGCUUCUCUCUUCACCUUAUGCCUGUUAGAAGUCAUCAAUUUAUCAAAACCCAAAUGCCGCCCCAUUUGUAUCACCUUUGGUUCACCCCUCAUAGGCGACUUUGGCCUCCAACACUCCAAUUGGAAUUCUUUCUUCUUGCAUGUAGUGUCCAACCAAGAUCUAGUCCCCGGACUCUUCCUCCCAUCCGACAGAUCUCCUCCCACAUCCUCCCAUUCACAAACUACUGGUUACAAGCCCUUUGGGACAUAUCUCUUGUGCUCUGAACUUGGUUGUGCUUGUUUUGACAACUCUGAUUUAAUUUUGGAAUUGCUGAAAGUCAUAUCAUCAGAGGUUGCCAGAGGAUUGCGGGAUGUUGAUUACAGGAAGAUUUUAAGAAACCUCAAGGAGAGGGCAAUCUGCAAGGGACUUCCGCAGGUGGGUGAAAGGUUUGCAAAUCCAUUUUCAGCUGGGAUCAUCAUGGAACUUGAGACGAUUGGAUUUAAUGAAACAAAGGUAAACAGCUUUCUCCCAUCUACUGAUGUUAUGGAACAUGGUUUACACAUCAUUAAAUACUGCAACAACUGCCCUAUUUAGAUUUAGGGCAAUGAUGAAAAUAUCAGUAAUCACGGAUAUAUCAGUAUUUCGAUUUUACGGAUAUAUCGGAUAUAUCGGAGAUAUAUCGGUAGAUAUUUUGAAAAAAAAUAUCGGCAAGCUUAAAAUUGUUAAAAACUCAUGAAAAUAUAAGAAAAUCUCAUAAUAAUAUAAUUAAAAGUAUAAUAGACAUUUUAAAGUUAUUUUAUUGAAAAUUUUGAUAUAUGUAUAACAUGAUUUAUCAUAUUUGAUAAUAAUAUCGUAUGCGUCGAUAAAAAUAUGAAUUUUAUAAGUGUACAUUUAUUAUUAAAUUACACCUAAUAUUAUGAUAUCUGAUUAUAAUAUGUCUAAUUUUAAAAUAUAUAUUAGUAUUAAAAUAUGAUCCAUUUAAUUCAAUUGUAUUAAACAAUAUAAAAUAAAUAAUGAUAUAUAUAUAUAUAUAUAUAAUUUUUUAAUAUUUAAUUAAUUAUUAAUGAUAUUAAAAACAUUAUGAAGAAAAUUAUAUAAUUUUUUAAUUUUUGGUAAUUAAUUAAAAGACUUUGCAUUUAAUUAUAAAUUAAUUAUAAUUAAUUUACUCUUUAAAAUAUUCUUAUAUUUUCUUUAUAUAAUGAAUUUAAGUAUAUAUAUAGUUGUUGCAUAUUAUAUAUUAAAGGACAACUUAGCCCAAGUGGUAAGCGAGUGAACCCCAAUGUGAGGCAUUGUAGCACGUGCACUGUAGCAUCACUGUAGCGACUCUGACUUUCGUUGACCCGCAUUGACUACACGAUAUAUCGGAGAAAAAUCACUGAUUUAUCGCCAAAUCACCAAUAAAUCGCCGAUUUCUCGCGAUAAAUACCAAAAUAUAGUGUCGAAACCCUUCGAUACACGAUUUUUCGGCGCAUUUUCUUACUUGGAUUUACCUUUUUGUUCUUUGGGAUCUUCCAUGACUCAUUUUUUAAUGCCAUUUUAUUUUCCUUUUUGUUUCUAAAUUUUUAAAAAAUCGUUUUCACUUCUUUUUUUUAAGAAAAUUUUGGCAAAUUUUGAAAAUAUAAUAUUAGUGUUUUCACUUCUUUCUUUUUUUUUUUUUUCUUUUUUUUUUUAAACUCAAUUUUCUAAAAAAUGAAAAUAGAAAAACAUUGUCUAAACAUGUUUGUAAACUUAAUUUUAUUUUUUUAUAAAUGAAAAAAAAAAUCUAAAUGAGUAAGGCUUUAUUAAUUUUAAUUUUUUUCUUUUCCUUAUAUUUUCUUAUUUUAUUCCAAAUUUUCUUGCAACCAAACAUAAUCUAAAUGUUUACAACUUUUAUUGUAAGGAAUGAAUGACACUACUUUGUGAACUUUUAUGAUAAUAUUUUGAAUCAUAAAUUGUGUUUUUUUUAGUAAUAUCAAUUUUAUUACCAAUGACUUAAUUGUUAAUAACAAAAUAUAAUAUUUAUAAAUAUUUUUAUUCUCAACAGGCUACAAUUUUUACUCUUGUGAUAAAAAAAAUUUUGUCAUAAAUUACACAUUAUGAUGAGUUUUUCUAUUUUCCUUAUCAGCCAAUUCAACAAAUAUCAUAUAUAUUGUAAUGGCUAACAAAUUUUCACAUAAAUUUUUUAUAAGAUAAAGUAGAAUGGAAUUAUUCAAUUUCAAAAAAAAAAAAAAUGGUACCUAAUGAAAAAGAUAAAAUAUAUAGAUCAUCUCGAAGAAAUCAGGAAAGAUAAAUGAUGAGACCAUAUAUAGGACCCUUGAUGGAGACUAUUUUAAUUGAAGUGGUGUGCUCCUUCCGACUCAGAACAUGUUCAGCAUUGCACACAAACUAACAUCGUCGAUCUUGAGUAUGAAAAAGGUGAUUAGAUUCCAAGGUUGUCGUUUGUCCCAACUCCUCAUAUUAGAGGUGAUGCUCAAGCUAACGUGCCUCGCAGUUGAGCCCCGGCCAAUCGGUCUAAUAUGCUUUUCCAAUGGUGAGUUUCACUGCCACCAUGUAUUACAUUAAUUCCGAUAGCGCACAAGUUGUGUUUGUGCUAUUGCUUUUUGCCCUCACAAACAUAUACACAAGAGACAUUCAGACCAGAUCUGUUCUACCAUCCUCUAGGAAAGCAUUGUAGGUCAUUUGAAAUUGGGAUUUCAGCACCAGAGUCAAAUUGCCUUCCUUCCUGAAAGAUGAGCAUUUUUUAUACUCUUACAUCGGCUUUUAUGGAAAUGAAAUCAGCUUCUCAUUCUGUUACAUUUUUCAAUUUUGCUGCCUAUAACUGCUCACUGCCUGUUUGUGAGACAUUAUCCAGAUUUUCCCUGAUCAAUUAUAGAGAGGUCAUUGGACUCAUCCAUGAUUGGAAUUUCCUGUUAUCAUUAUUUGCAAAUCAUCAACCAUUUGUCAUGAUAUCUUAAGUUAAGCUGAGCACGAAUUUCAGCUAAGAUCCUCAGAACUAGAAAUAUGCACUGCAGGUAUUACUUGAUAUGUGAAUAUCCAAUACAAUAUUUUUUUACUAAGAGGAAUACGAAUUUGAAACACUUUCCAAUAAUUUAUCAAGUCAUAUUUUCGUGCUGUCGUGAUACAUGUGUCUACUGUAUGCAUGGCUUUUCUUUUCUACACAUGCCUUUAUCUUUGCACAUGACUCUUUUGAUACACGCCAGCAUCAAGGCAAUUGCCUAAAUCUAAAUCACAUCCUUUGUGUCACGUCUUCCUUGUUACCACGGUCCUCUUGUACACCAUGGUCCCUUAAUGUAACUUGUGCCACAAGCCCUUUGUGCAUGAAUUCAAAUUGUUCAAUCAUUUCGCCAUUUACACCUUUUAAGGUCCAAUAAGCGUAUACAAGAGACUACACUCAUUCUAGAUGAUAAAGUACAUUCAACUAACUACUCUUGCUAAUGAGCAUAUCCAAGUCAAUACAUAAGAUUAAUUAUUACAUAUGGUAAUUGAAACCCUGUUUAAAUAAAUAGUGACACAAAUAUAAAAAAUAUAUAUAUUUAAAAAUAAAUAAAUAACAAUUUAGAGAAUUUCAUAACUUAGUAUCAAACCUAUUGUAGGAAAGAGUAUUAUACAAUGUAGGGUUUAGGAUCAAAGUUAACCUAAGAUCAAUUUUAAGUUUUAAGACCAAUUCAAAUUCAAAACUAAGGUUUUAAGUUUCAAAAAUAUAUCUCUUAAACCAAUUAAAUAGAAAAAAGAAAAUUACAAAGAAAAUUUCUUCCUCAUCGGUUUCUUUUAUCUUGAAAACUAAAGGAAAUAUAUAUCAAUAUUUGAGAUGGAAAUUCAUAAUCUUAGAAACACAAAGAACAAAGAGAGUAUGAAGAGACCAUACCAUGAGAGAUUUUCCAAAAGGUUGGUAAACCAUGGUAAUCACCUUUGAGUUUUGCUGAGAAAAACAAACCUUAAUUUUUAUUUUUAUUUUUUUAUCAUUUUUUCUCUUGUGGUGUACAUUUAAGAAAAACAAAUCUUAAAAAAAAAAAAAAAAAAACCAAAUAAUGCCAGAAUUUGGGUUGAGAAACACCCAAAAGAUAGUGGCCCAAUACAUGUGCCUAAGAAAAUCUUCAUGAGCCGAUAAACAUAGUCACAAAACUAGUAACAGCCUUGUAGCCAUAGUUGGUGUAGUAUGAGCAAGUGGGGUAUGAAGUAGGUAGGUGAGUAUUGCAAUGAAAUUUCCAGCACUGCUUCCUGAAUUAAGAAAUCACAUACCCAAGUCUUAGUCGUCGUCGUCGUACCGUGUGAGAACCGGGAAGAAUCUUUGCUCGUAGAGUGGCUUUUGUAGUCUUUCUUUAACAAUUACAAGUUAUCUGAAUUCCCUUCAUCCUCCUAUAUAAUAUUGUUUUUGGUCUUGUUCUUGUUGCAUUGUGGCUAGGCAUCUCCAUGGAAGGAAGGAGGAUGAAUCAAGUUCCUUUGUAUGAAUCAAUUUCUCUGCUCUUUUUCUUUUCAAUCCGUGAAUCGAAUCAUUGCUUAGUUCUUGCUUUAAUUUCUCCAUUUUCUGUUGGGUCUUUGACUGCAGGUUUAGCUCUGCAAGAGAACUGGGAAAUUUAAUGGUGACCUCCAAUCUAAUCGACUCUGCUUUGACUAAAAUUCUUGAGCUUCAAAGAGACCAAACAGCCUUGCUUUCCUCCGUUCAAUACAGAGUUUUUUAUCCAUCUCCCAAGUGCACAAUUGUAGCUUUUGUCUCUUCACCUGACUGCACUCAAAACCCUCUUCCUGGACAAGGAGAUUUAGUUCCGUCUCCUCUCUUUGACUUCCUCUGCACCGAAGAAUACAAGUCCGUCUCCAUUAACAGAGCUGCAUUAACCCUCUUUACCUCUUUCCACGAUCAUCUCUCUGGACUAAAAACUCAGGUCAAAAUAUGAUAGUUGUUUUUAUUUUCGUUUCCUUUUUGUUAACAAUUGUGAGACAUGAAACAGCUUGACCAUGAGAUCUCUCUCAUAGAGUCAAACUACCUGAAGAAGAAGAAGACGUUACACAUAUCCAUCUGCGUUGCAUCAUCGCAUUACCCAUUGAUCGGUUGUGAUUCAACUCUUAAUAGGAAGACAGUAGAACUGGUGUUGGUAUCUGUUUUUAGAUCAGCUUAUAUGUAUCUUGUUUCUAAAAAAGGUAAGUUUAGAAGUGAGAUUAAUGGGAUUAUUCUGACAUGGAUUCCAUAUGGUUACCUGUUUUGCAGUUGACUCAGAUUGAAGGUCAAUUAAUCAUCACUGGGCACUCCCUGGGAGGAUCCGUUGCUUCUCUCUUCACCUUAUGCCUGCUAGAUGGAAAUUUAUUAAAACCCAACUGCCGCCCCUUUUGUAUCACCUUUGGUUCACCCCUCAUCGGCGGCUUUGGCCUCCAACACUCCAUAUGGAAUUCUUUCUUCCUGCAUGUAGUGUCUAACCAAGACCCAGUCCCCGGUCUCUUCCUCCCAUCUGGCAGAGGCAGAUCUACGCCCACAUCCUCCCAUUCACAAACUACCGGUUACAAGCCCUUUGGGACAUAUCUCUUGUGCUCUGAACUUGGUUGUGCUUGUUUGGAAAAGCCUGAUUUAAUUUUGGGAUUGCUGAAAGUCAGAUCAUCCGAGGUUGCCGGAGGAUUGCAGGAUGUUGAUUAUGGGGAGAUUUUAAGAAACCUCAAGGAGAGGGCAAUCUGCAAGGGACUUCAGCAGGUGGGUGAAAGGUUUGCAGAUCCUUUUACAGCUGGGAUCAUCAUGGACCUUGAGAUAAUUGGAUUUGAUCAAACAAAGGUAAACAGCUAGCUUUCUCCCAUCUAAUGAUGUUAUGAAACAUGGUUUACACUUCACCAAAUACUGCAACAACUGCCCUAUUUAGAUUUGCCGUCUUGUUCUUUGGGAUCUUCCAUAACUAGACUCAUUUUUUAAUUUCAUGGCAGCUGCUGCAGCAUAACAUUGAUAUCGAGACUGUGAUAAGCACAAUGGAAGAGGAAGCCAGAAACCCAACCAAAAAAAAUAAAGCUUUCGAUGCCAAGAUUCUGAAUCACAAAAAAAAAGACAUGGCCGGGCUAGAAUGGUAUAAGAAGAAAUCAAAAGAUCUGAACAAGGGUUACUACGACUGCUUCAAAAACCAGGGGUCAAAAAGGGACAUUAAAAUUGAACAGUAUGGGGGACACCUCACAUUAUACUGGAAAGACAUGGUUGCACAAGUACAGAGGAAGCCCCAGAAGGAAGGAGCAACAUUUCGAACCCGUUGGCUCUAUGCAGGGACGGUUUAUAGAAGAAUGGUUGAACCACUGGACAUUGCUGCCUUCUACGUAGAGGGUGGAACAGACUACAUGAAGAAUGAAAGAUCUCUUCAUUACAAGCUGUUGCAGCAAUGGUAUGAGGAAGAUGUGAAACCCCCCUCUAAGGAUAAGCUUGAUUCCAAGAAGCAAAAGGUGUCUGGUAUCCUAACUGAGGAUUCUUGCUUUUGGGCACAUGUGGAGGAGGCUAUCUUGUCAUGCGAAUUGCUUAAGAGUGAAAACUGUACUCUUGAGCAGGAAAAAUCAUCAUGGGAUAAUCUGGUUAAGUUCGAGGAGUAUGUAAUGGAACAGAUUAACAACUAUGCAGUGUCCCCUGAGAUUUUCUUGGGGGAAAGCAGCUUCAUGAAAUGGUGGGGACUGUAUGAGGGCUACAUAUAUGCUCGCAGUAAUUCCCAUAGGUCACCAUUGAUCAGCUUUAUGAAGAACGGUAGUUAUACAGAGUAUCGUUAGAGGGGUAAUCCAGUUUGUGUGUUGUGUGUAUUGUUUUGUGAGCAUUCAAUGGAUAGAACUAGAAAGAGUGUGACCUUUUUCCUUUUUUUCUUCUAGUUGCUGCCCAUAUUCUCAGCACUAUUUUCUUCCUUCUUUUCCUCAGUUUUUUCUUAAGAAAUGAAUAUUAUGAUGUUGCUGGGAUGCACUUUCAUUUUUGUUCCAUUACAUUGUGUUUUAUUCAUAUCCUAAACAAAUAAAUGUAAACAAGAAAAUCAAAUAAGACUUCAAAGAGUCUGUUCCUUUUAAAGCAAGGGAAAAAAAGGACAUGUUUGUUUACUUCCACAGCUGGGUAGAUUCAACUCCACCAAAAUUGGCAACAACUUCCCAUUGAAAAAUUCCUUCUAAGCUUGAAUGACAUAAAACUAGAUAUGUUCCAGCUAGAAUGGUACAAAAAAGAAAUCAAAAGAUGAGCACAAUGGGUUAUUAUGACAGCUUUAGAAACCAUCUUACAACACAUCCAUCAGAAUUUAGACUAUUCAUAGAAACAUUCUUAACAUGUAAAUCUACUAUUGCCAUGCACGUCAACAUAGAAUUUCUAAAAUGAUUGAAUAAAAUAAAUAAAACAAAAGAAACCCUUCCAAGAGAAUUUCAUAAUCUAAUGUCAAAUCUAUUACGAAGAUGAACAUGUAAAAUUUAAGGUUUAUAAUCAAAGUCGACUUGAAUCUGAGUUUUAAAACCAAUUUGCAGUUUUUAAGUUUGGAGACUAGAUCUCUUAAACCAAUUAAAUGUAAAAAACUAAAAAGAAAACUUCUUCAAAUUUUGAAAUGAGAAUGAGAAUGCAAUUCCUAACUAGUUUCUUCAUCAAAAAUCCCGAAAAAAAAAAAAAAAGAAGAGAGAGAGAGACCAUAGACGCCAGUGUUUGGGUUUAGAACCACCCAAGAGAGAGUAGUCCAAUAUAUGGGCUUAAGAAAAUCCUCAUGGGCCUAAGCUAAGACUAGGAACAAUCUUGUAUCCGUGGUUGGUUUAGUAUGAGCAUGUGUACUGCGAAGGAAGUAGCUGAGAAUUGCAAUGGAAUUUCCAGUACUGCUUCCUGAACGAACAAAUCGCAUACCCAAGAUUUGGUCGUCAACGCCAUGCUGGGUGAGAACCGGGGAAGCAUCUUCGCUCGUUGACGAGCUUUUGUAGUCCUUCUUUAACAAUUAUAAGGCAUCUGAAUUCCCUUCAUCCUCCCACACCAUUGUUUUUGGUCUUGUUCUUGUUGCUUUGUGACUACGCAUCUCCAUGGAAGGAAGGAGGAUGAACCAAGUUCCUUUGUAUGCAUCAAUUUUACUGUUUUUUUUUUCCUUUUUAAUCUUUGGAUCGAAUCAUUGCUUAGUUCUUGCUUAAUUUCUCCAUUUUAUGUUGGGUCUUUGAUUGCAGGUUUAGCUCUGCGCGAGAACUGGGAAAUUUAAUUGUGACCUCCAAUCUAAUCGACUCUGCUUUGACUAAAAUUCUUGAGCUUCAAAGAGACCAAACAGCCUUGCCUUCCCCCGUUCAAUACAGAGUUUUUUAUCCAUCUCCCAAGUGCACAAUUGUAGCUUUUGUCUCUUCACCUGACUGCACUCAAAACCCUCUUCCUGGACAAGGAGAUUUAGUUCCCUCUCCUCUCUUUGACUUCCUCUGCACCGAAGAAUACCCUUCCGUCUCCAUUAACGGAGCCGCAUUAACCCUCUUUACCUCUCUCUACGAUCAUCUCUCUGGACUAAUAGAUGAGGUCAAAAUCUGAUACUUGUUUUAAUUUACGUUAACUUUUCGUUAACAAUUGUGAGACACGUAUAUAUAUAUAUAUAUAUAUAUAUCUUGUGGAUAAAAGGAAAGUUUACAAGUGAGAAUAGUGGCAUUUUUCUGACAGAUUUCACACCGUUGCUUGUUUUGCACUUGACUGUGAUUGAAGGUCGAUUAAUCAUCACUGGGCACUCGAUGGGAGGAUCCGUUGCUUCUCUCUUCACCUUAUGCCUGCUAGAAGUCAUUAAUAUAUCAAAACCCAAAUGCCGCCCCAUUUGCAUCACAUUUGGUUCACCCCUCAUAGGCGACUUUGGCUUCCAACACUCCAAUUGGAAUUCUUUCUUCUUGCAUGUAGUGUCCAACCAAGAUCUAGUCCCCGGACUCUUCCUCCCAUCCGGCAGAUCUCCUCCCACAUCCUCCCAUUCACAAACUACUGGUUACAAGCCCUUUGGGACAUAUCUCUUGUGCUCUGAACUUGGUUGUGCUUGUUUUGACAACCCUGAUUUAAUUUUGGAAUUGCUGAAAGUCAUAUCAUCAGAGGUUGCCGGAGGAUUGCGGGAUGUUGAUUACAGGAAGAUUUUAAUAAACCUCAAGGAGAGGGCAAUCUUCAAGGGACUUCAGCAGGUGGGUGAAAGGUUUGCAGAUCCCUUGUCAGCUGGGAUCAUCAUGGACCUUGAGAUAAUUGGAUUUGAUCAAACAAAGGUAAACAGCUUUCUCCCAAUUAAUGAUGUAGCAUGGUUUACACUCAACUUCACCAAAACCUGCAACAACUGCCCUAUUUAGAUUUGCCUUCCGGUUCUUUGGGUUCUUCUAUAACUUCUCAUUUUUUAAAUCCAUGGCAGCUGUUGCGGCACAACAUUGAUAUCAACACUGUGAUAAGGAUACUGGGAGCGGAAGCCAGAAUCCUAGCCCACAAAAAUAAAGCUUCUGAUGCCAAGAAACUGAAUGACAUAAAAAUACACAUGGCCCAGCUAGAAUGGUAUAAGAAGAAAUCAAAAGAUCUGAACAAGGGUUACUACGACUGCUUCAAAAACCAGGGGUUAAAAAGGGACAUUAAAAUUGAACAGUAUAGGGGACACCUCACAAUAUACUGGAAAGACAUGGUUGCACAAGUACAGAGGAAGCCCCAGAAGGAAGGAGCAUCAUUUCGAACCAGUUGGCUCUAUCCAGGGACAACUUAUAGAAGAAUGGUUGAACCACUGGACAUUGCUGCCUUCUACAGAGAGGGUAGAACAGACUACAUAAACAAUGGAAGAUCUCCUCAUUACAAGCUGUUGCAGCAAUGGUAUGAGGAAGAUGUGAAGCCCCCAUCCAGAGAUAAGCUCGAUUCCAAGAAACUAAAGGUGUCUGGUAUCCUAACUGAGGAUUCUUUGUUUUGGGCACAUGUGGAGGAGGCUCUCUUGUCAUGCGAAUCGCUCAAGAGUGCAAACUCUACUCUUGAGCAGAGAAAAUCAUCAUGGGAUAAUCUGGUUAAGUUUGGGGAGUAUGUAAUGGAACAGAUUGGAAACUAUGCAGUGUCCCCUGAGAUUUUCUUGGGGGAAAGCAGCUUCAUGAAAUGGUGGGGAGUGUAUGAGGACUACAUAGAUGCUUCCAAUAAUUUCUAUGGGUCACCAUUGAUCAACUUUAUGAAGGACCGUAGUUAUAGACUGUAUGGUUAGAGGGCAAUCCAGUUUGUGUAUUGUGUUUAUUGUAUUGUGAGCAUUCAAUAGAUAAAACUAGAAAGAGCGUGACCUUUUUAUGACAACUUUAGAAACCAGGGGUUAAAAGAGACAUUACAAAUUGAAUUUUUUGAGAGGAAACCUCAAGAGUAUACUGGGAAGCCAUGGUGGAACAAGUAGAGAGGAAGCUUCGGAAGGAAGGAUCAAUGGUUGAACCACUUGACAUUGUUGCCUACUUCAGGGAGGGUGUAAGAAACAACAUAACCGAGGGAAGAUCUGAACAUUAAACAUUGUACAAUUAUUGUAAAUGUCUUAUACAUUACGUGUGAAAAUACCAAAAAAAAUUAUAUUCAACAUUUAUGUUUGUAUACAAGCAAUAUUUUGGAUAGUUUGAUAUAAAAAACAAAUGAAGAAAACGAAGAAAAACAUACAAAUAUAUUUACAAUGGACAAACUUAUACAAUUAGUGUAAAUGUCUUGUAUAUUUAGUACAAAAGUCUCGUACUUUGUAAAAAUAUAAAAAUAUAGUAUUUGACUUUUAUAUAUGUGUGAAAAUGUAAAAGGAAAAAGAAAAAUAGUUAGAGCAUUUGGUACCGUGAGUGAUGACUUCACCUAAAGAAAGGUUAAUGAAUAUUAUGGUCUCGAUGGAAGAGCGACUCCGGUAAAAUAUAUGGAUUAAAUUGAUGCUUUUCUUUUGACGAUGAAGUAGUUGAGUUAUGAAUACGAGGUUUUGCUAACAACAUUGAAGGCAAGGAUUCCCUAAUAUACUCCAAUUCAUAUUCAAUUUGUAGACCUUCAACUAACUACUCUUGCUAAUGAGCAUAUCCAAGUGAAUACAUAAGAUUAAUUAUUACAUAUGAUAAUUGAAACCCUGUUUAAAUAAAUAGUGACACAAAUAUAAAAAAUAUAUAUAUUUAAAAAUAAAUAAAUAAUAAUUUAGAGAAUUUCAUAACUUAGCAUCAAACCUAUUGUAGGAAAGAGUAUUAUACAAUGUAGGGUUUAGGAUCAAAGUUAACCUAAGAUCAAAUUUAAGUCUUAAGACCAAUUCACAUUCAAAACUAAGGUUUUAAAUUUCAAAAAUAUAUCUCUUAAACCAAUUAAAUGGAAAAAAGAAAAUUACAAAGAAAAUUUCUUCCUCAUCGGUUUCUUUUAUCUUGAAAACUAAAGGAAAUAUAUAUCAAUAUUUGAGAUGGAAAUUCAUAAUCUUAGAAACACAAAGAACAAAGAGAGUAUGAAGAGACCAUACCAUGAGAGAUUUUCCAAAAGGUUGGUAAACCAUGGUAAUCACCUUUGAGUUUUGCUGAGAAAAACAAACCUUAAUUUUUAUUUUUAUUUUUUUAUCAUUUUUUCUCUUGUGGUGUACAUUUAAGAAAAACAAAUCUUAAAAAAAAAAAAAAAAAAACCAAAUAAUGCCAGAAUUUGGGUUGAGAAACACCCAAAAGAUAGUGGCCCAAUACAUGUGCCUAAGAAAAUCUUCAUGAGCCGAUAAACAUAGUCACAAAACUAGGAACAGCCUUGUAGCCAUAGUUGGUGUAGUAUGAGCAAGUGGGGUAUGAAGUAGGUAGGUGAGUAUUGCAAUGAAAUUUCCAGCACUGCUUCCUGAAUUAAGAAAUCACAUACUCAAGUCUUAAUCGUUGUCAUCAUACCGUGUGAGAACCGAGGAAGAAUCUUUGCUCUUAGACUGGAUUUUGUAGUCUUUCUUUAACAAUUACAAGUUAUCUGAAUUCCCUUCAUCCUCCUAUAUAAUAUUGUUUUUGGUCUUGUUCUUGUUGCAUUGUGGCUAGGCAUCUCCAUGGGAGGAAGGAGGAUGAAUCAAGUUCCUUUGUAUGAAUCAAUUUCUCUGCUCUUUUUUUUUUCAAUCCUUGAAUCGAAUCAUUGCUUAGUUCUUGCUUUAAUUUCUCCAUUUUCUGUUGGGUCUUUGAUUGCAGGUUUAGCUCUGCAAGAAAACUGGGAAAUUUAAUUGUGACCUCCAAUCUAAUCGACUCUGCUUUGACUAAAAUUCUUGAGCUUCAAAGAGACCAAACAGCCUUGCCUUCCCCCGUUCAAUACAGAGUUUUUUAUCCAUCUCCCAAGUGCACAAUUGUAGCUUUUGUCUCUUCACCUGACUGCACUCAAAACCCUCUUCCUGGACAAGGAGAUUUAGUUCCCUCUCCUCUCUUUGACUUCCUCUGCACCGAAGAAUACAAGUCCGUCUCCAUUAACAGAGCUGCAUUAACCCUCUUUACCUCUCUCCACGAUCAUCUCUCUGGACUAAAAACUCAGGUCAAAAUAUGAUAGUUGUUUUUAUUUUCGUUUCCUUUUUGUUAACAAUUGUGAGACAUGAAACAGCUUGACCAUGAGAUCUCUCUCAUAGAGUCAAACUACCUGAAGAAGAAGAAGACGUUACACAUAUCCAUCUGCGCUGCAUCAUCGCAUUACCCAUUGAUCGGUUGUGAUUCAACUCUUAAUAGGAAGACAGUAGAACUGGUGUUGGUAUCUGUUUUUAGAUCAGCUUAUAUGUAUCUUGUUGCUAAAAAGGGAAAGUUUAGAAGUGAGAUUAAUGGGAUUAUUCUGACAUGGAUUUCAUAUGGUUACCUGUUUUGCAGUUGACUGUGAUUGAAGGUCGAUUAAUCAUCACUGGGUACUCGAUGGGAGGAUCCGUUGCUUCUCUCUUCACCUUAUGCCUGUUAGAAGUCAUCAAUUUAUCAAAACCCAAAUGCCGCCCCAUUUGUAUCACCUUUGGUUCACCCCUCAUAGGCGACUUUGGCCUCCAACACUCCAAUUGGAAUUCUUUCUUCUUGCAUGUAGUGUCCAACCAAGAUCUAGUCCCCGGACUCUUCCUCCCAUCCGACAGAUCUCCUCCCACAUCCUCCCAUUCACAAAC